rnacentral:lncRNA from 1 species
UAACAAUAUGCAAAAAAGACAAGGCAAUAGGCUUAGUACAUUACAAAAAUAAAUUUUUGCAGAAGUUUACUAUUAAAGUCAAGAUUUGGGAAAAAUGAGUAGCACCCUUAGAUAAAUGAUUGUCAAAAUUUCUCUAUGGUAAGCUAAAAUAAAGCACUCAAAAUUUAGCCAAUAAAAUUAGCAGUAAUUCAAAAUGUAUUAUCAAGCAUAGCCACUUCAUAUUUCAAUAUUUGCAUAGCACAUCUGGCUGACAGGAUAAAGAAAUGAGGAAUUUCAAAGUAGAGUAUAAACUAAGAAGUAGAGGAAGUCUUAUAAAUGCUAGUUAUGUCCUACUUUGGAAAUUGACCACACAAUUUCCCUAGUGUAUCUCCUGCCUGCAUUAAUAGAAUACUAUUGAUAUUUUCUAAAGGCAUCUGAAAAGACAUUGCAAAUUACAUGCAGAACAUACACUUUCUGCCCAUAUUUUUGGGGACUCAUGAUUUCAUCAGUGUGGAUAUUGCCUUCAUGAACACAGAUAUAACACUUUCCUGCUUUGUUCUUAGUGAAUUGUAUUGGAAGAAAAGAAUACCGCUUAUAGCCAACCAUCCAAUGAUGAACACAUCUCUGAAUUUAGCUAGGCUGCACUAGUCUUGAAAGACAUUCAGUCUGUCGUUAGUCUUAACAGUGGCCAAACCAUACACAGUUUCAAAGUGAACAUAGAGUAAACUUCAGUAGCUAUGUUAAAUAAAUGUGGUUUUCUAAAAUAUCAGUGAUGUUCACACAUUGUUGUACAGCAAGAUAAGUUCAGUGAGCAAAGGUACAAUAAUCUUACAAUAAUUGCUCAAGGAAAAGAUUGCUUAGGAAUAUAUAACAAUAUAUUUAGAUAGUACUUUAUAGUUUAUAACAUACUCUUCUCUCAAUAACCUUGUGAAAUAAGUAGUGCAAACAUUAUUAAUCUCAUUUUCCAGAUGAACAGCCUCAGAGAAAUUCAGAAAUUUGUUCAAGGUCACACAGCCAAUAAGUGCCACAACUGAAUCAGGACUAGGACUCAAGUCUUUCCACAUCAUCAUGGGUGAUGUUCUUUUCAAUAUACAAGUGAGAAGUUUAGGACAUGUUGAACAGAAUGAUGUAUAUAACAAGAGACCAGUGAUAUAUGACAUUGUAGUUCUAUGAAUGAAGUGUAUUCCUAAUAGAAAUAAAAUGGCAAUACUUUUAGUUAAAUAAUAAAAUAUGUUAUUAUAAAAAUUCAUUUUCUCAUUUUUUGGCAGAUCAUUUUCAUGUUUUAUUUACUAAAUGCAGAUCCUACUAUGUACAUAUAAAAAUU